UACGGAGGAUCCAAGCGUUAUCCGGAUUUAUUGGGUUUAAAGGGUGCGUAGGCGGCCUAUUAAGUCAGGGGUGAAAGACGGUAGCUUAACUAUCGCAGUGCCUUUGAUACUGAUGGGCUUGAAUGAACUAGAGGUAGGCGGAAUGUGACAAGUAGCGGUGAAAUGCAUAGAUAUGUCACAGAACACCAAUUGCGAAGGCAGCUUACUAUGGUCUUAUUGACGCUGAGGCACGAAAGCGUGGGGAUCAAACAGG
rnacentral:rRNA from 1 species